AAUUUAGUUAGUUUACAUCCGUCUUCCAUUGAUCCAAAGAUAAUCAGUUCCGUAUUGGGUUUCAAUUUUAUUUUAAAUA